GGGGCUGGGGCUCAGUGGUAGAGCACUUCCCUAGAUGCAUAAGGCUAUCUGGGUUCAAUCCCCAGCCCCA
rnacentral:tRNA from 1 species